rnacentral:tRNA from 4 species
GCGGGUUUAACUCAGUGGUAGAGUGUCACCUUGCCAAGGUGAAAGUCGCGAGUCCGAAUCUCGUAACCCGCUCCA